UCCUCACGCACUCACCCAUCCCAUGCCAGAUCACCAACGGCAACGGCAAGGGUAGAUCAGUACGCCCCAGCGCCCGAGCGUGGCAGGACCACGGCAGGAGAGCGGCAGCCAAGAGCCACAGGGAGCCGGGCGACGCCAUCUUGCCUCAAUCAUCCUCCCAAGGGCCGCUCCCAUCCAGGUGCUGCUGCCUGGGGCUUCUGCGCUGCCAAGGUGAAUCGAAAGGAUUGCUCGCGUUUGUAUAAGGCUUACUGCAUAUCGGCCACUCUUCUAAAUGCCUUACAUCCUUUCCCUGCUUUACUCCUCCUAACAAGGCUACAUACGUCUCACCAUUUUACAGAUGGUGUUUCCUUCUAUGCGGGACCUUAGAGGAUGUCUUAUAUCACAGAAAAUCCACUACACUAUGGGCCCUUAGAGAAAAAAUUAAAAAUGCAUGUGCAGCAAUCUCCAUGACCAAGGUCACCCAAGUAGCAGUUUGUUGUACUAAUAAAUGUCUGGAAGCUAAUGGUCACCACUUUGAGAAUCUCUCCUAAUUGUAGAGGCCAAAGGUAAGUUCAUGAUGUCUCAGUAAAUUCAGUAU